rnacentral:lncRNA from 1 species
UGUUUCCUUCCUUCGCUCUGCCCGAGGUUGCCCCACCCACAUCCUAACACCGACGGCAUGGGCGGUCAGACCCGACAGGCAACAUUUUCCCCUCCUCGUUGGAUCCAGCGGCCAGAGAGGCGUGAGAGAGGGGAGCUGCAACAGGAACAACUAAGGGAGGAAGUAGCAGCCGAUGCCACCAAAAGAAGGGGAGCAGCAGGGGGACACGGCCGAGGGAGUGGAGCGGCAAGGGGGCGCCUCCGAUGGAGGGGAGUAGUAGGAGGGCCCCGCCGCUGGAGGGGAGCAGCAGGGGGGCGGCGUCGAUGGAGGGGAGCACCGGUGCCUGUCGAGGGAGAGAAAGAGGUGAUGCCGAGGGAAUGGUCGAUGGAAGGUAGCUAGAGAUGGGGGAGCUCGGUGACGACCAUGCGGCGCGAGGCCGUGGUGGCAUGUGUCAUACAGUCGUGGAGGGGAGAGGAGGCUGGCGAUGUCUUGCCGGGAAGGGGAGGUGGUGGAAGAAGUCGUGAAGGGAGGGAAGGGGAGGCGACAUGGAGAGCCAUGGCAUGGAGAGCAAGCGGCAAGGAAAUGAGAUGUGAGUGUGAGGCUGUGAGCAGAAGUAGUUUUUUUCAAUUAUGGAAACAAGCAGAGCUUGUGCUGUGUGUGCGGUGAGAGACGGGAGAAGUGGCCGUUUUCUUUUCUAUGGGAAAGAAGCGACUGCCUAACAAUGUUAUUUUUGGAAUGUAGACCAACAAGUGUUACGAGCCUACGACAAUUUGGUCCUAAAACAGAAAAACUACUACUAACUAGUUUUUUUUUUUGAGACAAACUCCGAAGCUUUAUUACGUCGUCACAAUGUUUACAUAGACGAAAGAAAGUCCGUCCGGCUGUCCCAACCAAACAUGUCGGCCAGCCGGAAGGGAUAAAGCGUGCUUCGCGAGUUUGUGGGCUUCGACAUUCGAGCUCCUAAAUUCGUGGCUAAUAUUACAUAUAAAGAAGUUUGAUCUAUGCUCUAUUAUUUCAUGUAUGAUCGCACCAUAAGCUGUAGGGUUGUUGGCUCGGAUGUCCUCGACCACCACCUUCGAGUCGGACGCCACUUGUACAGAUGAAACAUUCAGGUCGUCUGCCAGGGCCAACGCCUCCCUGAUCGCCAUGCACUCAAGCGUGGCCGGAUCGGAAAUACCUGCAAAAACCACCGCCGACGCUCCCGGAAAAGGCCAUCAGAGUUUCUUGAUAUCGCCGCAACCGAGCCGUGUCCACUGCCCCUUCCAACUGCAGCAUCUACAUUCAGUUUUGUCAACCCUGAUGGAGGGGGAAUCCAGCUUAUUGGGCGAGGAACAGAGUUGCCACCCUGCCUUGCUUUAACAGUUUUGAUAGCCUGCAAUUCCCUCAUGUAGGACUGAAUAAAACCAUGAACCUGAAAAGGACUUUGGUAUAUUUGCUCAUAGAUCGCCUUACGGCGCGCUCCCCACAAGGCCCAUAGUGCGACCACGAGUGUUGUAAAACUCUCCUGGGGUAGUACCUCGUGCAUGACAGAGAGCCAGCUCUUCGCAUCCCCUUCCUCAUUCUUACUCAAUGCGUCGAUGAUAUUCUCAGAAGACAAGGCCCAUGUACUCCGGGAAACCAUGUAGUUUAGCAAAGCGUGUCUCCAAGUGUCUUCCGCUCCGCAAAGACCGCAAGCAGGCGUCUCCGCUAUGUUUCGGUGAUGCAAAAGUGCCCCGGUUGGUGUGGUGUUCUUCACAAAUCUCCAAAGGAACAUCUUAAGUUUUGAUGGAAUGUUGAAAACCCAUAGCUUUGUCCAGAUUUCAUUAUUAGCUUGUGUGUGGGACGACCCCCCUUGCUCAUAUAACCAUGCAUCUCUGCUCAGCUUCUUCUGGUGGAUCAUGUGGUAAGCAGAUCUGACAGAGAAGAUACCCCGUCUAUCCUCGCUCCAAGCCCAAAAGUCCUCAACCUGUCUGGUACAGAGAGGAAUUUUCAUGAUAGAUUCUGCAUCGAUGGGAACAAAGGUAGCACGAACCAGUUGCUCGUUCCAGGAGCAUGUAGCAGUGUUGAUGAGUUCAGACACUUUAUGAGGAGGAUGUUGAAUCAGAGAGGUCAAUGGGCGCUUCAUGUGUGUACGAGGUAGCCAGUUAUCACGCCAGAUGUUCGUGGUUUCGCCGUUACCAAUUCUUCUCACAAGUCCCUGCACCAUAAUAUCUCGCCCAUCAAGGAUUGCCCGCCAAAUUUGUGAUGGAUGGUUCCCAAGGGUUGCUUCAAAGAGAGACACAUCAGGAAAAUAAACCCCCUUAAGAAUACGGGCGCUCAAAGAUGUAGGGUUUUGUAGCAACCUCCACGCCUGCUUCAAUAGUAAGGCAAGAUUAAAGAUCUCCAGAUCCCUGAAGCCCAGGCCGCCUAGAUGCUUUGGCUUUGUCAUCUCAUCCCAGGCUACCCAACUCGGCUUGCGUUUUCCCCCCUUGCUCCCCCACCAAAACUGUCUGAUCAGGGAAGUUAUGUUCUCACACAAACCUCAUGGGAGACGGAAGCAUGACAUCGAAAAAACUGGUAUUGACUGAGCCACCGAUUUGAUAAGAAUUUCUUUGCCCGCUGAAGAUAACAGCUUCUCCAUCCACCCUCUAAUCUUCUCCCACACACGAUCUCUCAAAUAUCUGAAUGUGCCAUUCUUCGAGUGCGCCACAUCUGUGGGCAUCCCCAGGUACCUGUCACUGAGUGACUCGUUCUGAACAUUUAAAAUAUGUUUGAUGCUCUCUCUCAUGGCUUGUGGACAACCCUUACUAAAGAAGAUUGAUGAUUUCUCAUGGUUUAUCCGCUGGCCAGAUGCCACACAGUAACUCUCCAGCAAGUUUGAUACUGCCACAGCCCCUUCAACACUCGAUUUAAACAACAACAGGCUGUCGUCAGCGAAAAGGAGAUGGUUCAUGGCUGGCGCCGUGGAUGCCACCUUGAUCCCUUCUAGCUGAGACAAAGACGAACUGGAUUUCAGUAGGCACGAAAGGCCCUCCGCUGCGAUUAAAAAGAUAUAUGGGGAUAUCGGAUCUCCCUGCCGAAUGCCUCUGGAUGGAUUGAAAGUGUCAAGCCUCUCACCAUUGAAAAGUACAGAAAAGGAUAGUGACCGAACCAUACUCAUAACUAUCUGGACCCAUGAUGGAGCAAAACCAAGUUUUAUCAUCAUCGCCUGUAGAUAAUCCCACUCUAGUCUGUUGUAUGCCUUCAUCAUAUCCAGUUUGAGCGCAUAAAAACUAUUUACUUUUGCCUUGCUGCGUUUCAUAAAGUGAAGACAUUCAUAAACACUGAUGAUAUUAUCUGUGAUAUGCCUGCCUGGCACAAAUGCUAAUUGUUCCUCUGAAAUGAUGUCCGGACGAAUCAUCUUCAAUAUGUUUGCAAUCACCUUGGACGCAAUUUUGUAUAAUACGUUGCAUAAGCUGAUGGGCCUAAACUGAGUUAGCAUAGUAGAAUUCAUUACCUUAGGUAUGAGAACCAGGACCGUAUCAUUGAUGCUUUACGAACUUUCCUCUCCUCGAAUGAUCCUGAGAACCGCCUCUGUAACCUCGGCACCGCACAGAUCCCAAUGAUGCUGAUAAAAGUGAGCUGGGAAACCAUCAGGGCCCGGUGCUUUGGUCGGAAACAUCUGAAAGAGGGUUGUCUUUACCUCCUCUUCCUUGUAUGGUGCAACCAGUAGCUCAUUCAUCUCCGCGGUCACUUUUGUUGGUACACAAUUUAGGACUGCUUCCAUAUUGUUUACACCUUCUGAUGUGUACAAAGUUUCAUAAAAUUGUUGUACCAUUGCUUUGAGCUCACCUGGAUCAUUAGUCAAGACGCCAAGGGAAUUUUGCAGCGCCUUUAUCAUAUUCUUCUUCCUACGGAUGCUUGCUCUCAGGUGGAAAAAUUUUGUAUUUUUGUCUCCGGAUGUUAACCACUCAAUCCGUGAACGCUGCCUCCAUAAUAUUUCUUCCCGGUGAUAAAGUUCAACCAGAUUCUCAUUUAUCUUGAGCUCGACAUGUGACGGAGCACUUCGACUAGGAUCAGCCCGCAACUUCUCUAGCUCCGAUUUUAGCUUUUUGAUCUCUUCCCUAUCGAUCCCAACAAGACGUCCAUGGCACCACUGUAAGGAAUGUGCCCUUCUGCACCUGCAUCACCGGAGCACAACCAGCCCCUUCACCGCUGCUACAUUGCCUCCGACUGAAGCAAAUAGUAAAGAUAUAUUUUUGGUUCAACUGAAGAAAAUAGCAGAAAUGAUGAGUUGGCAAAUUGCAAAAUCAAAGAUAGAUUAUUUCUACUAUUAUUAAAGGUUCGCAUUUCUAGAUUCCACAAACAAACAAAGCAUUGGUUAGUUAUGAUUCUAUCCCAUUAGCUACAAUAUAAGCUUGUGUGAGUUAAAAUCGAUCUCAAAUCAGAGAUUACCUGUUUCCUUCCUUCGCUCUGCCCGAGGUUGCCCCACCCACAUCCUAACACCGACGGCAUGGGCGGUCAGACCCGACAGGCAACAUUUUCCCCUCCUCGUUGGAUCCAGCGGCCAGAGAGGCGUGAGAGAGGGGAGCUGCAACAGGAACAACUAAGGGAGGAAGUAGCAGCCGAUGCCACCAAAAGAAGGGGAGCAGCAGGGGGACACCACCGAGGGAGUGGAGCGGCAAGGGGGCGCCUCCGAUGGAGGGGAGCAGUAGGAGGGCCCCGCCGCUGGAGGGGAGCAGCAGGGGGGCGGCGUCGAUGGAGGGGAGCACCGAUGCCUGUCGAGGGAGAGAAAGAGGUGAUGCCGAGGGAAUGGUCGAUGGAAGGUAGCUAGAGAUUGGGGAGCUCGGUGACGACCAUGCGGCGCGAGGCCGUGGUGGCAUGUGUCAUACAGUCGUGGAGGGGAGAGGAGGCUGGCGAUGUCUUGCCGGGAAGGUGGUGGAAGAAGUCGUGAAGGGAGGGAAGGGGAGGCGACAUGGAGAGCCAUGGCAUGGAGAGCAAGCGGCAAGGAAAUGAGAUGUGAGUGUGAGGCUGUGAGC